UCCCCGUUGCCGGGGCAGUCUAGCUAGAAAAAUUCAACUAACUAUAGGGGUUGCGCUCGUUGAUGGACUUAACCAAACAUCUCACGACACGAGCUGACGACGGCCAUGCAUCACCUGUCACUGCGGCCCGAAGGCACAUUUUCCUUUCGGAAAACUUGGCAGGAUGUCAAGCCUUGGUAAGGUUCUUCGCUUAUCAUCGAAUUAAACAACACACUCCACCGCUUGUGCGGGUCCCCGUCAAUCCCUUUAUGUUUUAGUCUUGCGACCGUACUCCACAGGCGGGAUGCUUAACGCGUUAGCUUCGCUACUACCGGGGUCGAUACCGAUAACAGCUAGCAUCCAUAGUUUACGGCGUGGACUAC
rnacentral:misc_RNA from 1 species